UGGGGAAUAUUGCGCAAUGGGGGCAACCCUGACGCAGCCAUGCCGCGUGAAUGAAGAAGGCCUUCGGGUUGUAAAGUUCUUUCGGUAGCGAGGAAGGCAUUUAGUUUAAUAGACUAGGUGAUUGACGUUAACUACAGAAGAAGCACCGGCUAACUCCGUGCCAGCAGCCGCGGUAAUACGGAGGGUGCGAGCGUUAAUCGGAAUAACUGGGCGUAAAGGGCACGCAGGCGGUGACUUAAGUGAGGUGUGAAAGCCCCGGGCUUAACCUGGGAAUUGCAUUUCAUACUGGGUCGCUAGAGUACUUUAGGGAGGGGUGGAAUUCCACGUGUAGCGGUGAAAUGCGUAGAGAUGUGGAGGAAUACCGAAGGCGAAGGCAGCCCCUUGGGAAUGUACUGACGCUCAUGUGCGAAAGCGUGGGGAGCAAACAGGAUUAGAUACCCUAGUAGUGAGCGGGCUGGCAAGGCGCAU
rnacentral:rRNA from 1 species